rnacentral:rRNA from 1 species
GAUGAACGCUGACAGAAUGCUUAACACAUGCAAGUCAACUUGAACUUCGGUUUGGGUGGCGGACGGGUGAGUAACGCGUAAAGAACUUGCCUCACAGAUAGGGACAACAUUUGGAAACGAAUGCUAAUACCUGAUAUUAUGAUUAUAUGGCAUCGUAUAAUUAUGAAAGCUAUAUGCGCUGUGAGAGAGCUUUGCGUCCCAUUAGCUAGUUGGAGAGGUAACGGCUCAACAAGGCGAUGAUGGGUAGCCGGCCUGAGAGGGUGAUCGGCCACAAGGGGACUGAGACACGGCCCUUACUCCUACGGGAGGCAGCAGUGGGGAAUAUUGGACAAUGGACCAAGAGUCUGAUCCAGCAAUUCUGUGUGCACGAUGAAGUUUUUCGGAAUGUAAAGUGCUUUCAGUUGGGAAGAAAAAAAUGACGGUACCAACAGAAGAAGUGACGGCUAAAUACGUG